GAGACACCCCUCCGGGGCUGGAGACUUGCUUCAGUGGGGCUUUGGUGCUCACUGAGUCUGCCCCCUGAGUGUGUCCUU
rnacentral:pre_miRNA from 1 species